GCCUAUGGCCAUACUAUCCUACAUAUGACCCAAUCUCCUUCUGAUCUGUGAAGAUAAGCAGGGUCAAGCCUGGUUUAGUACUUAGAUGGAAGAAAGAGAAUCACUAAGUAAAUAGAGCUA
rnacentral:rRNA from 1 species